AAUAAGUUUAUUUUUCAGAUUUUAGAUACCAUGUUCUGACUCUUCGUUUUAUUUGAAAUUUUUUUGUAAUUAAUAUUUUUAUUGUUACUACAUGUUAAAAUAUGAAUAAUUCUUUAUGCAUGACUAUUUUUUAAAGUUUUUUUAAUAAAAUUUCAAAUAAAAUGAAUGAUCAAAGCAUUAGGCACAGAAAUUGAAAAAUGACGUUAUU
rnacentral:pre_miRNA from 1 species